rnacentral:lncRNA from 1 species
UCUUACAGGAAUUAGGUGAUGCUUACCCAUGCACGAAUGAAUAGGUAAUGGAGGGGUUCAGGUAUGGGGCCCCACUGUUGGAUGGGUGCCCUCCCAUAGUGUCACUCUGUUACCCUCUGCAGGUUGCUUUCUACUUAGCCUGACUGCAAUGGUUCUCUGUCAUCCUUGGAAUAUGAGUCCUUGUAGUAUAUGUAUUAAAUAUCACAUGCAUAUUUAAUACUGGAUACUCUUGGCAGUUACUUUGUGUCAGGUACCAUGCCUAACAUCUUACAUGGAGAGUUUCAAUUAAUUUUAUCAAUCCUAUAAGUCUAUCAUUAUUCUCAAUUUACAGAUGAGGAAACCAAAGUUUGGAAAGAUGAAAACAAUUAUCUAUAGGCCCAGUAAUAGAUUUAGAACCAUGAUUUAAACCAGUACUUUAUACUUUACCUCUAAGCUGAACUAGUAAUUUUCAAACUUUCUUUGAUGCCAACCCAUAGUAGGAAAAAUAUUUUAUGUCAUGAUGCCAUGAAUACACGCAUACACAUAUACAUGUAUAUAUGUACAUGUGUGUAUAUCUGCACACACAUGCAUAUGAGACAAAUGUCUGAGGAAACAACACUCUUACUGUUUUCUGAUUCUAUUCUUUGCUAUUCUAUUCUACUCAGUUUCUGUUGUGGUCUAAUUUUAUUUUUAAAAUUAUGCAGCCCACCAGAUUGUUUUCAUGUCCUUCUAUAGGUCAUUAUCUGCAGUUUGAAAAACACUGGGCUGAACCAUACUUAAACCAUAGUAAUUGUUCAACGGGAGAGUGUCUGGGAAGCCAAGUUCCAGUCAUAGGACAGUAGCUAAAGUCUGUGACAUUAGGCAGGUGUCUUCACUUCCCGGGCCUCAUCUUCCUAAAGCCUGAUGUGAAAUGGCAUUUUACAGAAUGGCCCAGGAGGCCCAGCUCAUGCUUUUCUUUAAUUGCCUCAAACCCUCUGCUUAUAUCACUUUCUGUGAAAGACGAGUGGGCACCUCCCUGGGCAUCUAUCUCCCGUGUAUCUCAUCUGUGCACUGGGAGAUACUGACUGAUGGCCUGGCAGGUCUUCACUCUUGCUUUGGUGAUGCGCUUGAUCACUGUGGUGUGGAAUAGAGAAAAUACAGUUUCCACCUGUCUGUGAGUUGUGAUCUGAAAUGAAACAGCACAUUUUUCUCAUGCAAAAUGUGAAUCUGAUUCCCCUUCUGUCUUUAUAUGUGUCUGCUGUUUGGUAUCUUUCUUAGGCUUUCUGAAAGGCAGAGGAAAGACCAUACCAGUGGAGACUGGGAAGUGUGAGUUGUCAGGAGGGAGACAGACAAAGAGAAAGAACUGCAAUAAAUCAGAUAAACCAGAAUGGUGUGUCUGGACUCAAAAAGACUGGGUCCUGAUCUCCCUGUGGCCACUAGUGGCUGUGUGACCUUGGACAUGACACCUGUCCUUUUUGGGCAUAUCAUUGGAUGUGAAGACCUUGCAUAAGGUUUCAUCCAGCUAGAUAUUCUAGAAUUAUGAGUUCACACCUUGAGGUAGGGAGGAGAGAGAGCCAAGCCCUUGGGUGAUGCUUCCCAUAAGUGGCCAAUCCAGGAAACUCCUGAUGAUGAGAAUUGCUUAGGUCUUAAUAACUAAAAUACCCUGUCAUUCUUCUGUUGGCUUCACUCAAAGGGUGUUUAUCUCAUUCCAAUGAGUUUCAGACUUCCAAAUUGGCUGCCUGUUGUAGGUGUGCUCCUUUGUGGACAGGUUGCAUGCCUGUGCCAAGUGCCAUCGAGUAACUAGAGCAGAUCAGCACACAGGCAUCUCCCAUCCUGUAGAUUAAACUUUUGGGGAGACGUGAUUUGUUUGGGUCCCAGGCUCAUUGGUUGCUCUGGCCUAUGGGUGAUGGUCUACAGAGGCAUCUGUAGCUGAGGCCAGGCCAGCUCAAUUCUGGGAUAGGCUGGUUUAUACACAGGCCCUCAUGUCUCUGACUCUGGGAUGAAGACCCUGUGGGGUUGGUAUGCCGCCCCCACUUCUGUGCAUCCCAGCUGGCCCUGUGGCUAGGAAGAAGUGCUCUCCCCUGGAACCUGGCCCCCAGGGGGUGGUAUUGGCACCAACAUCCCUGCAAUAACUUGCACCCCACCACCCUGAGACCCAGCGUCACUGACAAGGAUACCAUUGGCAUGCACUCUCUGGAGGCUGUGCUCUGCACUCACCCUUCCCCUCUCUGGUGAGGACACUCAGGCCAGUAGGUCUGUGUCUUUCGGCCCUCUGCACUGUUAUCAGACAGGGAACAUCCUGGGGGUGAUUGGCAGGCCCUGAAGCACAGGACGCAGAGCUCCUUUUACCUGCAUCGAGGUGCAUAGUUCCUCCCUUCCUGGCAGCCUCCCCAGGAGAGAACUGGGCUCUCCAACUGGCUAUGGAAUCUACACACUGAAAGAGACUUUCAAGGGUCACCUUGAUCCCCUGCCCAGAGGAAGACACAGACCUAUUUGAUGACCACAGCCUCUGAGGCCAGAGGAGGACAAGCUGCUGCCCUUGUGUGGGGACUCCCACAGGCAGGGAGGCAGCAGCUGAGGCCUCCUGGGCAGGCCUCUCCCAUUUGCAUUCUCUCCCUCUCUUCCCCCAGCAGGGGAUGCUGCCUCUGCCUCUAUCAGGGGCAGAGAGUCCUCUGGCUCCCCUUGAAGAGGCAAGAGGAGGAACAUCCCAGCAUUGCCACACUCCCCAGCAAAGACAGUCUGCAUUUCUAGGUGCCCCUAACAACUACUUUGUCAAAAAUGAGCCACAAAUGUCCAGCUUCUUUGCUCAGCCAACAUUCAUGGAGCACCUACUCUGCGCCAAGCACUUCCCCAUCCUUAAAAUGCAUGGCGCACAGCAGCUGGAUCCGGUUUAUCUCAGGAUCCCAUUUAUCUGCAGGCCAGGAGGAAGGGUACCUGUAGGCUCCUGCCCAUCCGAUGAUGGUGCAUGGCAAAACACAUAGAUGCUGCCUCCCCUUCUUCCUCUGCCCCAGUUGGUUAGGGAGAAGAGUGCUGUGCCCUGCUCUGAGGAACUGCUGAUGAACUCUGAGUGCCCAGGGAAAAAGGAACAUCUGCCUGAAAAAUGUUUCCUACAAUUGCAACAAGAGAAGGAGAUGCAAUUUUUUGGCUUGAGCCGGGUUCAGUGCAGAUAUGGCAGGUAAAGAACGUGGGGCACUGUCUUCUCAGAAAGAGAGGGGUCCAUCACUCAGCUCGUGGGAAGACACAGGUCUGUUGCUUCCUGGCCAGGCCUGGUGUGAGCCCCAUCCCCACUGGGUCUCCUGGGGACGUGAGCCUGGCUGCUAGCACUACAGGCAGUGAGAAAGGAUGGAGAACUACCCAGUGCAGGACGCAAGCCUUGGUAGCUCCUGGCUCCUGCGUACACUGCUCUGUCCCUGGAUGCUCAUGCCUGGUGUGGGGAUUCUGCUUAGCCCAGUUAACUCCUGUUGCCUUGAAUCAACAUGAAUGAGGGGCUGAGGAGGAAAGGCAAAAGAAAAAGCAAAAAAAAAAAAAAAAAAAAAAAAA